rnacentral:rRNA from 1 species
UACGUAGGGGGCAAGCGUUGUUCGGAUUUACUGGGCGUAAAGGGCGCGUAGGCGGCAAUUCAAGUCAUCUGUGAAAUCUCCGGGCUUAACUCGGAACGGUCAGAUGAUACUGCUUUGCUAGAGUGCAGAAGGGGCAAUCGGAAUUCUUGGUGUAGCGGUGAAAUGCGUAGAUAUCAAGAGGAACACCUGAGGUGAAGACGGGUUGCUGGGCUGACACUGACGCUGAGGCGCGAAAGCCAUGGGAGCAAACGGG